GACCGUUCCGGUGGUUUAAGUGGUUGGAGUGUCCACCUUGGAUGCGGGAGGUAGCUGGUUCGAACCCAGGUUGAGUCA